AGAGUUUGAUCCUGGCUCAGAUUGAACGCUGGCGGCAUGAUUUACACAUGCAAGUCGAACGGUAACAGCACUUCGGUGGCUGACGAGUGGCGAACGGGUGAGUAAUAUAUCGGAACGUGCCUAGUAGUGGGGGAUAACUACUCGAAAGAGUAGCUAAUACCGCAUGAGAUCUACGGAUGAAAGCAGGGGACCUUCGGGCCUUGUGCUACUAGAGCGGCUGAUGGCAGAUUAGGUAGUUGGUGGGGUAAAGGCUCACCAAGCCAACGAUCUGUAGCUGGUCUGAGAGGACGACCAGCCACACUGGAACUGAGACACGGUCCAGACUCCUACGGGAGGCAGCAGUGGGGAAUUUUGGACAAUGGGCGCAAGCCUGAUCCAGCAAUGCCGCGUGCAGGAUGAAGGCCUUCGGGUUGUAAACUGCUUUUGUACAGAACGAAAAGUCUUGGGUUAAUACCCUGGGACCAUGACGGUACUGUAAGAAUAAGCACCGGCUAACUACGUGCCAGCAGCCGCGGUAAUACGUAGGGUGCAAGCGUUAAUCGGAAUUACUGGGCGUAAAGCGUGCGCAGGCGGUUAUGUAAGACAGAGGUGAAAUCCCCGGGCUCAACCUGGGAACGGCCUUUGUGACUGCAUAGCUAGAGUACGGUAGAGGGGGAUGGAAUUCCGCGUGUAGCAGUGAAAUGCGUAGAUAUGCGGAGGAACGCCGAUGGCGAAGGCAAUCCCCUGGACCUGUACUGACGCUCAUGCACGAAAGCGUGGGGAGCAAACAGGAUUAGAUACCCUGGUAGUCC
rnacentral:rRNA from 1 species